rnacentral:ncRNA from 2 species
UUUUUUCUUUAAGCGCCAUGUACCGGAGUGAUCCGGUUAACGAGGAGAAGGGUGAUCGAAGAUUCGGCGGAUGCCCUUUCGUACAGCCCGGUGCGUAUAUAUUGACAAAUAUGCAGGCAACUGCAAAACAAAAACAAUAUAACGGGAACUG